rnacentral:misc_RNA from 1 species
UCAAGACAGCGGACUUCGGUCCUUGCUGCACCCUUGUCUUUUGCGUACCGUAUGUUUCCUCGGCGGGCUUGCCUGCCGGUUGGACAUUAUCAAACCUUUUUGUAGUUGCAAUCAGCGUCAGAAAAUAAUAAUAAUUA